rnacentral:tRNA from 1 species
GUGGGUGCAGCUCAGUGGUAGAGUGCUUGCCUAGCAUGCAUGAGGUCCUGGGUUCAAUCCCCAGCACCUCCA